ACAGUGGACGCGAGCAUCUUUGUUGUAAGUGUUUAAGAGCGUACGGUGGAUGCCUUGGCACCAGGAGCCGAUGAAGGACGUAGGAGGCUGCGAUAAGCCUCGGGGAGCUGUCAACCGAGCUGAGAUCCGAGGAUGUCCGAAUGGGGAAACCCAGCCACAGUGAUGUGUGGUUACCCGCGCCUGAAUAUAUAGGGCGUGUGGAGGGAACGUGGGGAAGUGAAACAUCUCAGUACCCACAGGAAGAGAAAACAACAUGUGAUUCCGUGAGUAGUGGCGAGCGAAAGCGGAAGAGGCUAAACCAUGGGUGUGUGAUAGCCGGCGGGCGUUGCAUUCGUGGGGUUGUGGGAUCCGUCUUGUCAAUUCUGCCGGAUUGGCCGACAGUGAGAAAUCAUCGUGUUAGUCGAAGUGGUCUGGAACGGCCUGUCGUAGAGGGUGAGAGUCCCGUAGACGAAAACAUGGUGACUGUCGUGACGGACACCCGAGUAGCAGCGGGCCCGUGAAAUCUGCUGUGAAUCUGUCGGGACCACCCGAUAAGCCUGAAUACUCCCUGGUGACCGAUAGCGGACUAGUACCGUGAGGGAAAGGUGAAAAGUACCCCGGGAGGGGAGUGAAAUAGUACCUGAAACCGUGCGCUUACAAUCCGUCAGAGCCUGCGCCACUUUGGUGGGUGGGUGAUGGCGUGCCUUUUGAAGAAUGAGCCUGCGAGUUAGCGGCAUGUCGCGAGGUUAACCCGUGUGGGGUAGCCGUAGCGAAAGCGAGUCCGAAUAGGGCGUUUGUAGUGGCAUGUUCUAGACCCGAAGCGGAGUGAUCUACCCAUGGCCAGGGUGAAGCGACGGUAAGACGUCGUGGAGGCCCGAACCCACUUAGGUUGAAAACUGAGGGGAUGAGCUGUGGGUAGGGGUGAAAGGCCAAUCAAACUCCGUGAUAGCUGGUUCUCCCCGAAAUGCAUUUAGGUGCAGCGUCGCGUGUUUCACUCUGGAGGUAGAGCUACUGGAUGGCCGAUGGGCCCCACAAGGUUACUGACGUCAGCCAAACUCCGAAUGCCAGAGUGUGAGAGCGCGGCAGUGAGACUGCGGGGGAUAAGCUUCGUAGUCGAGAGGGAAACAGCCCAGAUCGCCGGCUAAGGCCCCUAAGCGUGUACUAAGUGGAAAAGGAUGUGGGGUCGCGAAGACAACCAGGAGGUUGGCUUAGAAGCAGCCACCCUUGAAAGAGUGCGUAAUAGCUCACUGGUCAAGUGAUCCUGCGCCGACAAUGUAGCGGGGCUCAAGUACACCGCCGAAGCCGCGGCAUUCACAUAACACCCAUGCGGGUCUACGGGCCUGUGUGCAGUGGUGUGGAUGGGUAGGGGAGCGUCGUGCAGCCAUGGAAGCGCCGGAGUGAUCCAGGUGUGGAGGCUGCACGAGUGAGAAUGCAGGCAUGAGUAGCGAAAGACGAGUGAGAAACUCGUCCGCCGAAUGACCAGGGUUCCUGGGCCAGGUUAAUCCGCCCAGGGUGAGUCGGGACCUAAGGCGAGGCCGACAGGC
rnacentral:rRNA from 1 species